GAGUUUGAUCCUGGCUCAGAUUGAACGCUGGCGGCAGGCCUAACACAUGCAAGUCGAGCGGUAGAGAGAAGCUUGCUUCUCUUGAGAGCGGCGGACGGGUGAGUAAUGCCUAGGAAUCUGCCUGGUAGUGGGGGAUAACGCUCGGAAACGGACGCUAAUACCGCAUACGUCCUACGGGAGAAAGCAGGGGACCUUCGGGCCUUGCGCUUAUCAGAUGAGCCUAGGUCGGAUUAGCUAGUUGGUGAGGUAAUGGCUCACCAAGGCGACGAUCCGUAACUGGUCUGAGAGGAUGAUCAGUCACACUGGAACUGAGACACGGUCCAGACUCCUACGGGAGGCAGCAGUGGGGAAUAUUGGACAAUGGGCGAAAGCCUGAUCCAGCCAUGCCGCGUGUGGGAAGAAGGCUUUCUGAGUUGUAAACUACUUUUGAUCGGGAACAAAGAUCCCUGCGGGAGCAUUGAGUGUACCGAUAGAAUAAGCACCGGCUAACUCCGUGCCAGCCGCCG
rnacentral:rRNA from 1 species